rnacentral:rRNA from 1 species
UGGGGAAUUUUGGACAAUGGGCGAAAGCCUGAUCCAGCAAUGCCGCGUGUGUGAAGAAGGCCUUCGGGUUGUAAAGCACUUUUGUCCGGAAAGAAAUCCUUGGCUCUAAUACAGUCGGGGGAUGACGGUACCGGAAGAAUAAGCACCGGCUAACUACGUGCCAGCAGCCGCGGUAAUACGUAGGGUGCAAGCGUUAAUCGGAAUUACUGGGCGUAAAGCGUGCGCAGGCGGUUUGCUAAGACCGAUGUGAAAUCCCCGGGCUCAACCUGGGAACUGCAUUGGUGACUGGCAGGCUAGAGUAUGGCAGAGGGGGGUAGAAUUCCACGUGUAGCAGUGAAAUGCGUAGAGAUGUGGAGGAAUACCGAUGGCGAAGGCAGCCCCCUGGGCCAAUACUGACGCUCAUGCACGAAAGCGUGGGGAGCAAACAGGAUUAGAUACCCUGGUAGUCCACGCCCUAAACGAUGUCAACUAGUUGUGGGAUUCAUUCCUUAGUAACGUAGCUAACGCGUGAAGUUGACCGCCUGGGGAGUACGGUCGC